rnacentral:ncRNA from 1 species
UGAAAGAUGGUUUCGGCCAUCACUUACAGAUGGGCCCGCGGUGCAUUAGUUAGUUGGCGGGGUAAUGGCCCACCAAGACCGCGAUGCAUAGCCGACCUGAGAGGGUGAUCGGCCACAUUGGGACUGAGACACGGCCCAAACUCCUACGGGAGGCAGCAGUAGGGAAUCUUCCACAAUGGACGAAAGUCUGAUGGAGCAACGCCGCGUGAGCGAAGAAGGUUUUCGGAUCGUAAAGCUCUGUUGCCGGAGAAGAACGAGUGCCAGAGGAAAUGCUGGUGCUGUGACGGUAUCCGGCCAGAAAGCCACGGCUAACUACGUGCCAGCAGCCGCGGUAAUACGUAGGUGGCAAGCGUUGUCCGGAAUUAUUGGGCGUAAAGCGCGCGCAGGCGGCUUCUUAAGUCUGAUGUGAAAUCUUGCGGCUCAACCGCAAAAGGUCAUUGGAAACUGGGGAGCUUGAGUGCAGAAGAGGAGAGUAGAAUUCCACGUGUAGCGGUGAAAUGCGUAGAGAUGUGGAGGAAUACCAGUGGCGAAGGCGGCUCUCUGGUCUGUUACUGACGCUGAGGUGCGAAAGCAUGGGGAGCAAACAGGAUUAGAUACCCUGGUAGUCCAUGCCGUAAACGAUGAAUGCUAGGUGUUAGGGGGG